UACGUAGGGUGCAAGCGUUGUCCGGAAUCACUGGGCGUAAAGCGCACGUAGGCGGAUGUUUAAGUCAGAGGUGAAAGCCUGGAGCUCAACUCCAGAACUGCCUUUGAUACUGGGCAUCUUGAGUCCGGAAGAGGUAAGUGGAACUGCGAGUGUAGAGGUGAAAUUCGUAGAUAUUCGCAAGAACACCAGUGGCGAAGGCGGCUUACUGGUCCGGUACUGGACGCUGAGGUGGCGAAAAGCGUG
rnacentral:rRNA from 1 species